AGUGAACGCUGGCGGCAGGCCUAACACAUGCAAGUCGAGCGGCAAGCGGGUUCCCGCGAGGGGAUGCCGGCGAGCGGCGGACGGGUGAGGAACACAUCGGAAUCUGCCUGGUUGUGGGGGAUAAACGGUAGGGAAACUUACGCUAAUACCGCAUGCGACCCUGAGUCGACGGACUGGGGGUGAAAGUGAGGGACCUUCGGGCCUCACGCGACCAGAUGAGCCGAUGUCGGAUUAGCUA
rnacentral:rRNA from 1 species